UAAUAAGUGUUUUAUGGCACUUUUUAACUCCAUAUCCACCUUGUGUGCAACGUCAGUCGAUCUUCUUCAUGGAGAUCGACCAAACAUCAACCUUUAUCUUUUAACUCUUGUCUGAAAAAUAUUAUGAAUAAACAAUUCAAAAUA
rnacentral:misc_RNA from 1 species